rnacentral:rRNA from 1 species
UGUUUAACAAAAACAUGGCUUCUUGAUAAUAUUUUUAAGUCUGACCUGCUCACUGAAUAAAUUUAAAGAGCCGCGGUAUUUUGACCGUGCAAAGGUAGCAUAAUCAUUAGUUUCUUAAUUAGAGGCUUGAAUGAAUGGUUUGACGAGAAAUUAACUGUCUCUUAAUAAAUUUUAUAAUUUAACUUUUAAGUUAAAAGGCUUAAAUACUUCUUUAGGACGAGAAGACCCUAUAGAGCUUGAUAUUUAUAAGUUUUAUAUUAUUUUAGGUUAUCUUUUUAUGUAAUUUUUUAUUAUUUGGUUGGGGUGACAUGAAGAAUAAUUAAACUCUUCAUUAUUAAAUCAUUGAUUUAUGUUCAUUUGAUCCAUAAUUUAUGAUCAUAAGAUUAAGUUACCUUAGGGAUAACAGCGUAAUCAUUUUUGAGAGUUCAUAUUGACAAAAUGGAUUGCGACCUCGAUGUUGGAUUAAGAUUAAUUUUAGGUGUAGUAGCUUAAUAAUUAGGUCUGUUCGACCUUUAAAUUCUUACGUGAUCUGA